GGUUGCGUGGUGUAGUUGGUUAUCACAUGCCCUUCACACGGGCAAGGUCACCGGUUCGAUCCCGGUCGGAACCA
rnacentral:tRNA from 1 species